CCAAGGGCUACCGUCUUGUUGUCAUUCUUGGAUUUGGUUGGCAGUGACUUGAGAGUGAAUUCUUGACCCCAAACUUUUGCCGUUUGCUGUUCUCCGAGGCCAAUCAGCCAUCAGGGAGUCCCCGCCUGCUGGCACCUCUAGGGUCUGUGACGACUACAGAAGAGCCCUCCCACCGGCGGAGUUACCCAGAGUCACCACAGGAUCCAGCAGGUCCAGUCCAGCUAUUUACCCAAGAGAAUGGAAAUCAGGGGCUCAAACCCUGGACCCUGGAGCAAGCACAUUCACUGCAGCCCUAGUCACAACAGCAAAGAUGGGGCACCUCAGAUGCCCACCCACGGACGAACGGGUAAAGAUGUGGCGGUCCAUCCACGCAGUGGAAUCUUCUCAGCCACAAAAAGGAACGAAGGACCGACACAGGCUACGACGCGGGUGAACCUCGGAAACACGAUGCUGCGUGAAAACCUUCAGACGCAAGGGCCACGACUGGGACUCCAUUUAUACGAAGGGUCCGGAACAUGCAAACCACAGACGGAGACAGAGAAAAGAAGAAGAGAGAAGAGGAGAUGGCAGCCCCCCGCCCCCCCACUCUUUCACUUCUUUCACAGGGGGCUGUCCAGCUCCCGGGGCAAUGAUGGAUCUGCGUCUGCCGAGGUGAGCGCGGGAACCCAGGGCAGAGGGGGUCCGUGCACUUGUUCCGCGGCGGAUACGGUGGAGGGUGUGCGGUGCUGGCGUCCUCUCCGGGCAUCCGGCUGUGCCGGGCAAGCCCGCCCAUUCCUUGCAAGUUUACGUCUCUUUAAUAAAGAUUAAGAUGUCAGAGGGCCAGCCUUGCACAAAAUCCACUUUUAUU